rnacentral:lncRNA from 1 species
CAGGUUAUUGUGCUUGCAUUGGUUCCAAGCACAUGCCAAAGCUUCUAGAAACUAAAAUGGGCACAUGACAGCCCAUAUCGGUCUGUACCAGUUUGGAUCAGAUUGGCACACUCCAGCAAGCAUUGUCGUUAGAAUCUUCCUUUUCAUUAUCCAGAUCUUAGGAUCCGGAUCCAAAUGGCCUAAAAUGAUCCAGCUAUCUAUUCUUUGGAUUAGGAUCAAUUAAGAAGAUAAAAUCUCGAUAUAGUCCCUUAGAUUAUAAGAUCUGUCUAGAUUAUGUUACUUCGAUACUAAAUAAUAUUGUCAACAAUGCCACGCCCCUUAAUAAACGCGGUCUGAUUGAGGCUGACUAUCUUAGGGAGAAUCGAAGCAAGUCUAUUGGCGAGUAUCUGGUAUGGAGUAUGCUCCAUUUUCCAUAGUUUAUUUGAUUAUAUGACUCCUAAAUUACUUAUUACGAAUAAGCCUUGAAUACUAAAUUAGCAAGCUUGUUACUGGAGUUCAUGAAAAUUUUGUAUUCAUGCAAUCAUAUAUUAAAAUCUUACCCUUGUUUCUUUUCUAAGGCAUUCUAUUAAUUGAAUUAAUAGGUGGUAUAUAACUAUCAUGAAUAAC